rnacentral:rRNA from 1 species
UACGGAGGGUGCAAGCGUUAAUCGGAAUGACUGGGCGUAAAGCGCACGCAGGCGGUCUGUUAAGUUGGAUGUGAAAUCCCCGGGCUUAACCUGGGAACUGCAUUCAAAACUGACAGGCUAGAGUCUUGUAGAGGGGGGUAGAAUUCCAGGUGUAGCGGUGAAAUGCGUAGAGAUCUGGAGGAAUACCGGUGGCGAAGGCGGCCCCCUGGACAAAGACUGACGCUCAGGUGCGAAAGCGUGGGGAGCAAACAGG